UAGCCGCACUACGUUACGAUAUGAUACGGUACGGAAGACCAGUGAGGCCCAUUCUACGCCCCUGGCACCAUAAUAAGAGAAAGACCAGCGAGGCCCAUUCUACGCCCCUGGCAUAUUGGAAUGUUAUGUUAUGAAUGUAAUGUAAGAGAAAGACCAGCGAGGCCCAGUCUAUGCCCCUGGCACUAUUGGAUUCAGUAGUGGGCUAUUGGUGACAAGUUCAUCCUUGAUGUGGAUUGUUUGUGAUGUGUUGCAUUCCAUGAAAGCAUGAAAUUUAAAUUGAAUGUUUUAUUAUUCUGCUCACUGAGCUUUAUAGCUCACCCCUCUCCCUUAACCCCCAGGUUUGCAGGUACAGGGUAGACUAGGAG
rnacentral:lncRNA from 1 species